UACGUAGGGGGCAAGCGUUGUCCGGAUUCAUUGGGCGUAAAGAGCGUGUAGGCGGCCAGGUAGGUCGGUUGUGAAAACUGGAGGCUCAACCUUCAGAGGUCGACCGAAACCAUCUGGCUAGAGUCCGGGAGAGGAGAGUGGAAUUCCUGGUGUAGCGGUGAAAUGCGCAGAGUAUCAGGAAGAACACCCGUGGCGAAAGCGGCUCUCUGGAACGGUACUGACGCUGAGACGCGAAAGCGUGGGGAGCGAACAGG
rnacentral:rRNA from 1 species